AAACUAUGCAUCGGGCGUUUUCUAAUUAACUCCUUGAAUUGCUCCCAUGCUUCAUAUAAUGUUUCGUCCUCAGAUUUCCAAAAGGACAUAAUAUCAUUCCUCAGUUU